rnacentral:rRNA from 1 species
GACGAACGCUGGCGGCGUGCUUAACACAUGCAAGUCGAACGAUGAAGAAGAGACACGCGGACGUCGGUUAAAAUUUCACUGCGGAGUAGUGGCAGACGGGCGAGUACCGCGUGAGCAACCUACCUCUGAAAAAGGGAUAGCCUCGGGAAAACGUGAUUAAUACCAUAUGACACAUUCAUAAGGCAUCUUAAGAAUGUUAAAGCUGCGGCGGGAAGGGAUGGGCUCGUGUCCUAUUGGCUAGUUGGUGAGGUAACGGCCAACCAAGGCGACGAUGGGGAACCGGGCGGGGAGCGUGAACGGUCACGUUGGAACUGCGACCCAGUCUCCACUCGUACGGGAGGGAGCAGUGGGGAAUAUUGCACGAUGGAGGCAACUCUGAUGCAGCGACGCGGCGUGAGAGAUGCAUGGAUUCGUAUCGUAAAGCUCUGUUGUAUGGGAAGAAAGGGACGGUACCUGAGGAGAAAGCCCCGGCUAAAUACGUG